ensembl:snRNA U6 U6 spliceosomal RNA
GUCUAAAUAACUCAUACUUGAACACAGAUACAAAAACUAGAAUGACAGAUUAGCAUGGCUCCUGCAUAAGAAUGACAUAGAAGUUCAUGAAGCAUUCAAUGUUUUU